GGUGGGGUGUACAAGAGUCCAGAGUUGUCGAAACAGUUUUCGAAGGGUAAUAGGACAGCAGUUUAUGGUCUAAGGAGGAGUGAAGCCAAGGACGGAUUUAAACCAAAGGAUGUUAGAGAUCCAAUUGUGGAGUGGGGCUGGGAACUACAACUCGUGACGUGCCUCUGGAGUUGCUGCACAAUGGCGAACCGGAAGCGGGCGCCCCAGGCUAUGUGAAAAGAGAAAAAUGAAAAAACGGCAUGAAAACCUGGAUCAUGUGGUCGGAAACAGAGCACCAUAAUCCAAAGGGAGAGGGGACAGGGAGAGGUCCCAGUUAAGAAGAAAGAGGAGCAGAGAAAAACACUCCAAGCAUAAAAAGGGCUGCAGUUGGCAGAAUUUAAGCAGUGAGGGCACAAGAGAGUCCCUUGUUAGGAAAAAUAGAUAGUUUAAGUCAAUUAUUUUGGCAUUUGAGGGUGUUAGGAAUGAGUUUUGCUGUUCAAGUUUAAAUUUGAUUUGUAUUUCUGCAUUUGUGUGUUAAGAAAAGGUCAAGUUGCGUUUUUGUUUCAUUUUAAAAGGUACAUGCAUUCUAAUGAGUUUUCCAACUGUAAGGGGAGUUGCGCAAACACAAGAGUAGAAAAACAUGGGCUGUUGCCUAGCAACGGGGCCCAAAGAAGCAGGACCCUCCCACAGAUACACACACAAGAAACUAGAAACAGCAAUUUGAUUUGGAAGCUGUUUGAGUUCAGUCAAUUUUGAAGACAGCUGUCAAGCAGAAACAACCUAGAAGGAGCAAAUAGCCAGUACCAAGCUAAAGUUGGUUGGAAGUAGCUGCCAGAGAGAGACUGGAACAAAGGGACAGAUAACCAGUCUCAAGCUAGAGGACGAAAGUCCCAAAACCCAGGGGUGUGAAACAGGAGAAAGUCCCAAGCAGCCCUUCUAGUCAAAGGAAGGACAGGAACUUGGAAAAGUUCCUGGAGUUAAGAGUGAGGAGCAAAGAAAUGCUCAAAGCUUCAAGAGGUAAAGGCUUGUGAGAAACAAGAAGGUACAAAGAGACAACUGAAGUUCUGUAACUCUUUGCUAUGGGCAUAUGAAGCAGUGGUGUACUGUUGACAGCUGAAUCAGUGAGAGAGUACGUGGAGGAAAGUUUGAAUGCAUGUGGUGACCCAGGGAAGAGGAACAUUGGAAGUGGAGUUUGAAGCCCUGGAGGUGAACCCUUGAAGAAGGCUUCUGAGAGAAAGUGUUGGUUUGAGAGAAGAUUCCAAGGCGAGUUCUUGGAGAAUGGAGAUUGGAACUCUCAUGUGAAAGACGGAGUUCAGUGAGACUGAUUGGCUCAUGGUGUAACAAGAGUUUGGAGGGAGUUGAGAAGCGAUGCAUAGCAUCUGUUUGGGAUGACAUCUGUCAAUUGGUUUCAGAGUGUGGUGUGCCUUACUACAGGUUGCCAAUUGGUUUACAUGGACUGUACUUACUGUGAAUAUUAGAGUUUAAGAUAUAUUUAUAACUUGUGUUAUCCUUACAAAUCUGUGUAUGUCUGUAAAGGUAUAGUUGUGGGUGAAGGAGUAUUGUAACAUAGUUUACAUUUUCUUGUUUAGUAAAUGUUUUAUGCUUUUGUUAAAAGUU